ensembl:lncRNA
GACAGGAAGACUAUUUUCAGAUGCCUCCAGGAAGAUGUCCCCAGCAGUUGUGGGUGGAGGGGCAGGACCCCAGCUCAAUUUAACUUUGCAAUAGACUUUCCCCAUUCAGCUGGAGACUCCCACUUUCCUCUCAGCUCUUACUGGUCACAGAGUGUUCCCAAAAUUAUGAUCUUACUUGAUCCUCAGCCUUCUCAUGAGUCUAGCAAUUUCUCACCAGGAACAUGGGGAAGGAGAAAUAGACAUUGGAAACAACCCAUCAGGCAUGUGUCCAAACUCAGCCUCUGACUUAUGGCCUCAGAUUUUCUACUCAACCUCCCUGAGCCCCAAUUCCCUUAUCUGUACAAUGGGACUCCUGAACUGUUGGUGGGGGGUAAUGAUUUGAGAUGAGACAUGGAAAAGAUCCUGUGAAGUCCCAGGCAUUUGACAGAUUUAGCAGCCACCACUGUCAACAAAGCCCACCCUCCUUUCUUUGGCCCUUUGGUCCCACCUGCACUUUCCAGAUGGAAACCUCCGCCCUCCUCAUCAUAAGGCUCCCUCUCCCAAGCCUGCUCCUCCCCUUCUGCAGCUGGAGAGAAUUGCUUGUUCCCACAGGGCUUGGCACAGAAUAGGUGCUGUCUUUCUCCUCCUUCCUCUGGCUGCCUUAAGCUUUGCUUUUGCUGCCUUUUAGGUCUUAACAUUUAUGAUAAUCCGCCUUGUAGUACUAAUAACAGCAGAGUCCUUACAAGGUUCCCUGCUCUGCAGUAAGGGCUUUGCA